UAGAGUUUGAUCAUGGCUCAGAUUGAACGCUGGCAGCAGGCCUAACACAUGCAAGUCGAACGGUAACAGGAAUCAGCUUGCUGAUUCGCUGACGAGUGGCGGACGGGUGAGUAAUGUCUGGGAAACUGCCUGAUGGAGGGGGAUAACUACUGGAAACGGUAGCUAAUACCGCAUAACGUCGCAAGACCAAAGAGGGGGACCUUCGGGCCUCUUGCCAUCGGAUGUGCCCAGAUGGGAUUAGCUAGUAGGUGGGGUAACGGCUCACCUAGGCGACGAUCCCUAGCUGGUCUGAGAGGAUGACCAGCCACACUGGAACUGAGACACGGUCCAGACUCCUACGGGAGGCAGCAGUGGGGAAUAUUGCACAAUGGGCGCAAGCCUGAUGCAGCCAUGCCGCGUGUAUGAAGAAGGCCUUCGGGUUGUAAAGUACUUUCAGCGGGGAGGAAGGGAGUAAAGUUAAUACCUUUGCUCAUUGACGUUACCCGCAGAAGAAGCACCGGCUAACUCCGUGCCAGCAGCCGCGGUAAUACAA
rnacentral:rRNA from 1 species